rnacentral:rRNA from 1 species
AUUGAACGCUGGCGGCAUGCCUUACACAUGCAAGUCGAACGGUAGCGGGCCUUCGGGUGCCGACGAGUGGCGAACGGGUGAGUAAUGUAUCGGAACGUACCUUUCAGUGGGGGAUAACGUAGCGAAAGUUGCGCUAAUACCGCAUAUUCUGUGAGCAGGAAAGCAGGGGAUCGCAAGACCUUGCGCUGAUUGAGCGGCCGAUAUCAGAUUAGCUAGUUGGGGAGGUAAAGGCUCACCAAGGCGACGAUCUGUAGCGGGUCUGAGAGGAUGAUCCGCCACACGGGAACUGAGACACGGUCCAGCCUCCUACGGGAGGCAGCAGUGGGGAAUUUUGGACAAUGGGGGCAACCCUGAUCCAGCCAUGCCGCGUGAGUGAAGAAGGCCUUCGGGUUGUAAAGCUCUUUCGGCCGGGAAGAAAUCGUAUCAGCUAAUACCUGGUGCGGAUGACGGUACCGGCAUAAGAAGCACCGGCUAACUACGUGCCAGCCGCCGCGGUAAAAC